AGGCCAGCUCAGAGGCCCUCGAUCUUGCUGCCUCCGGAGGCGUGUGCGCAGGUUCGAAUCCUGCCGGGG
rnacentral:tRNA from 1 species